rnacentral:misc_RNA from 1 species
UCUCCAUAUGGUAGUUAAGCCUCGGAUCAUGAUAUUGAAGGCAUAAUCAUUGGGAUUGGGUAUUUGGGCAAAAAGAACAGAAGCAUAGUUAAAGUCUUUGAAUUCAAUGAUUUUGGAGAGAAGGAAGUUGGGUUUCGGUAUUGAAUUUAUGAGCAUUUGGGCGUGGAUUUGUUGUAUUGGCUUCUUAGAUAGGCAUUGCUUCAAUAGAUAUAAGAGUUUCUCUGCUAGAGUUUGGCGGAGGCCGUUUGCUUCUGCAAAAGCAAGAUGGCGGGAAAUAAGAUUUGAUGAAGGUUUUGUCUUGAGCAUUUCAGAAUCUCAAAAACUUCUGUUUGGG